UGCAGUCGAGGGGUAACAGGAAUAGCUUGCUAUUUGCUGACGACCGGCGCACGGGUGCGGAACGCGUAUGGAACCUGCCCCUGUCAGGGGAAUAGCCCAGAGAAAUUUGGAUUAAUGCCCCAUGGUAUCGAAUCACUGCAUGGUGGUUUGAUUAAAGAUUUAUCGGACAGGGAUGGCCAUGCGUACCAUUAGCUGGUUGGUGAGGUAACGGCUCACCAAGGCAACGAUGGUUAGGGGCCCUGAGAGGGGGAUCCCCCACACUGGUACUGAGACACGGACCAGACUCCUACGGGAGGCAGCAGUGAGGAAUAUUGGACAAUGGCCGGAAGGUUGAUCCAGCCAUGCCGCGUGCAGGAUGACGGCCCUAUGGGUUGUAAACUGCUUUUACACGGGAAGAAACCUCCCCUCGUGAGGGGAGCUGACGGUACCGUGAGAAUAAGGACCGGCUAACUCCGUGCCAGCAGCCGCGGUAAUACGGAGGGUCCGAGCGUUAUCCGGAAUCAUUGGGUUUAAAGGGUCCGUAGGCGGGCCUGUAAGUCAGGGGUGAAAGGCCACGGCUCAACCGUGGGACUGCCCUUGAUACUGCAGGUCUUGAGUUAUAGUGGGGUUGCCGGAACAUGUGGUGUAGCGGUGAAAUGCAUAGAUAUCACAUAGAACACCGAUCGCGAAGGCAGGUGACCAACUAUAUACUGACGCUGAUGGACGAAAGCGUGGGUAGCGAACGGGAUUAGAUACCCCGGUAGUCCACGCCGUAAACGAUGGAUACUAGCUGUCGGGACUUC
rnacentral:rRNA from 1 species